rnacentral:rRNA from 1 species
UAAUACGGGGGGAGCAAGCGUUGUUCGGAUUUACUGGGCGUAAAGGGCGCGUAGGCGGCCUCCGCAAGUCAGUUGUGAAAUCUCCGAGCUUAACUCGGAAAGGUCAACUGAUACUGCGGGGCUAGAGUGCGGAAGGGGCAACUGGAAUUCUUGGUGUAGCGGUGAAAUGCGUAGAUAUCAAGAGGAACACCUGCGGCGAAGGCGGGUUGCUGGGCCGACACUGACGCUGAGGCGCGAAAGCUAGGGGAGCGAACGGGAUUAGAUACCCCGGUAGUCCUAGCCUUAAACGAUGGGUACUAGGUGCCUGGGGGAGCGACCCUCUGGGUGCCGGCGCUAACGCAGGAAGUACCCCGCCUGGGGAGUACGACCGCAAGGUUG